UUUUCCAAGGAAGAAACAGAUGCGAUUAAGAAGUUUUGCGGGAAU
rnacentral:lncRNA from 1 species